AUGAGAUUCUUAAUUACACUUCAUGUGAAAAAGAGGGUGGGGGUAGUUCUGAAACUUGACUUUGAAAAGGCUUGUGAUAAAGUGAAUUGGGACUUUAUUCUAGAAUGCCACAAGUUACGAGGCUUUAAUGAUACAUGGUGUGGGUGGAUUAAAAAGAUACUGCAUAAUGGGACUGUGAGCAUCAAGUUAAACAACCAGGUGGGCCCAUACUUUCAAAGUGCGAAGGGGGUCCGCCAAGGCGAUCCCCAUUCCUCAUUCCUGUUCAAUUUAGCUGUGGAUUGCCUGGCAAAAAUGAUCAAUAAUGCCCAAAAGUGUGGCAUGUUAGUAGGCAUGGCUGCUGAUCUAAUACCUAAUGGGGUAGCAGUGCUCCAAUAUGCUGAUGAUACUAUUAUUUGCCUUGAACAUGACUUUGACAAAGCAGUUAACUUGAAAAUGUUGUUGUACAUCUUCGAGCUGAUGUCGGGGCUUAAGGUGAAUUUCCAAAAGAGUGAGAUUCUUACUAGGGGGGGGUGA
rnacentral:rRNA from 1 species